GAGGCCUUGGAGAACAUUGCACAGAGGGGAAGACUGAGGUCCCAUUGCACAGAGGGGAAGACUGAGGUCUAAAGGUCUAACGUGUUCUGCUCAGGGACCCUCAGCCUCCGAGGAGCAGGAGUGCGGCUCCAGGAGGCACCUGGGCCUCCCGCUUCGGCUCCACCCGUCUCUGACAGGUGGGUGGGGCGCACAUUGGCACCAGGCCCUUAUCUGCUGGGCACCGUGCCUGGUGCUUACGUGUAGAUACACUCCUUAUCUCGCCGGGCCUCCCGCCCCUGGGAACUGCACACACUACGAAGGCCCAAGGUCUCCAGGCUCAGAGAACGGACCGGAAAACCCACAUUGACACUUACUUCUUAGAGUGGCCGUGGUGGUAGAAGAGGUAUUGAGUGUUAAGUCUACACUCAAUACCUAUUGGGUGCUGCUCUAAGUACUUCUAUACAGGUGGGCAGAAUAUGUUUACCGUGGCCUUGUGAGAUCCCUUUGGGUUAUUAAAGCUCUUGUAAAAUAAUCCUCACCUGCAUGUCGUUUUUCCACAUGAACAACCGUAAACCUGCUUUUGCCCACCUCCUACACAUUUCUCCAUCGACAUCCCAGGAGGUAGGCACACUUUGAAGAAUAGGGCAGGGAGGCACAGAGAGGUCCAGCCACUUGCCCGAAGGCAUGCAUCGAGGAUGGUAGCAGGAUCGGAGCUUGAACCCAGGGAGUUAACAGGCCAAGAACCGAUGCCAGCGUCCCAGUUACACCAGAUCGGGACAUCCGCCCGCAGGUUCAGAGGGCAGCCAAGAGGGAUGUAUUAGUUUCCGGGCGCUGCCGUAACAAAAGUGCCCCGCACCAGAUGGCGUAAAGCCACAGAGACGUAUUCGCUCGCCGUUCUGGGGGCUGGAAGUCCAAAGUCAAGGUGGUGGCAGGGGCGGUUCCUUCUGGAGGGUCUGGAGGAGAGUCUGAGUCAGGCCUCCCAGCUGCUUGGGGUUCAGGCCGGCAGCCCUUAGUGCUCCUUGGUUUGGAGACACAUCCCUCCAGUCUCUUCCCCUCUGUCUUCACGUGGCCUUCUAUCUCCGUGUCUCUGUGUCCAGUUUCCCUCUUGGAAGGACACCAGUCCCUGGAUGAGGGCCCACUCUCACCUCGGAAUGCCUCUCGGUCUGGCACCGGUGACGGAUCUCUCUCUUCUCUGCAGGUGACUUUAACAGAAAUAGCUCUGUUUCCACUUGCUUAGAAAUUCUUUGGGAGGUGCAAAGGUCCCGGGGCAUAUGUGAAUGUGCCUUUUUUUUUUUUUUUUUCCCCGACAGUUCUCAUUUAAAGAGAAAAUUCCUAACCUGAAAUCUUUAUGUUUUAGAGAGAGA